rnacentral:sRNA from 1 species
GGUUUCACCAUGUUGGCCAGGCUGGUCUCAAACUCCUGACCUCAGGUGAUCUGCCUGCCUCGUCCUCCCAAAGUUCUGGGAUUACAGACAUGAGCCACCAUGCCCAGCCUCAGCCUCUGAUUUUUAAGUGAGAUCAUUGCAUUCUUUUCUCAUCAUCCUCCCCAUUCCCAUCGCUCCCCGUAAGAGUGACUUUGUCUUGCUCUGGCUUGUGGUUGGAUAAGAACCAAAGCUCACGAAACUGUGGGACGCCCCAUUUACCACAGGAUCGAAGAGUCAGACCAAGGCCCUUAUGCCAUCAUCCUGGCUCCCACCCGUGAGUUGGCUCAACAGAUUGAGGAAGAGACCAUCAAAUUUGGGAAGCCGCUAGGUAUCCGCACUGUGGCUGUCAUUGGUGGCAUCUCCAGAGAAGACCAGGGCUUCAGGCUGCGCAUGGGUUGUGAGAUUGUGAUUGCUACCCCUGGGCGUUUGAUUGAUGUGCUGGAGAACCGCUACCUGGUGCUGAGCCGCUGUACCUAUGUGGUUCUGGAUGAGGCAGAUAGGAUGAUUGACAUGGGCUUUGAGCCAGAUGUCCAGAAGAUUCUGGAGCACAUGCCUGUCAGCAACCAGAAGCCAGACACGGAUGAGGCUGAGGACCCUGAGAAGAUGCUGGCCAACUUUGAGUCGGGAAAACAUAAGUACCGCCAAACAGUCAUGUUCACGGCCACCAUGCCCCCAGCGGUGGAGCGUCUGGCCAGGAGUUAUCUUCGGCGA